CAGUUUUCAAAGUGACUGGUUGCUUGUCAAUGCGUAUAACCAUUUUUGAACCAAGCCAUCGUGAGUGAACUGAUUUAAAACGCCCUAACAUACGAUUGCAUUUCGAAAGGUCAAUCCUGUCGCUUUCUGUUAUUCGUUUUAUAACAAAACCUCUAACAGCGUCGUCUUUCCGCUUGCUCUCCUCCCAAACUUCGAGGAGCGCUGCAUGAAAAAACUCAUAAACACCUGCAACAUGUAUUGUUUUUUCGAAAAGGGGCAAAAACGGGCAAAAACCAUUACUUAAAAUUGAUUUUAUAGUAAUUUGUUAAAAACAUUAAUAUAUUACCUUCAAGGCACUUGGAGGCACUUAAAAGAAAACUUUAACAGAACACGUGUACUUUUGUUAGAAUAACCUAGAACAACACACUUGCAACACAUUGGACAAAACAACACAAACAUGUAUAAAUAUAGUAAAAAGUUUAGAAAUUAUAAAUUUACAUACCUUGACCUUUAUUUUCCAUUAAGACACUUUUAGCUUUGAAUGUUCGCUUUAAUUAAAUCACUAGCUGCAAGGUAUGAAAAUUUUCCCGCGUUUUUUAGCCAAAACAUAACGACACUGAACAGCUGACUUUAAAAGCGCGCAGAAGAUUAGGGGCAUUCCGAAAAAAUCUUUCCAAAAUUUUUUUUAUAUCAUUUCAGUAUUAUAGAAACCAAAAAAUUAAACAAAAAAAAAUUAUUUCACAAAAAAAAUAUCAUUUAUGCCAAAAAUUUGGGCUUUUGGACCAUAGUGCAUGCGAAGUCAUAAAAAUUAUAAAAGAGCAGCUACAACCGAAAAAAUCUCAAGGCUGCGAUCUAAUAAUUCCAAAAAUGGUUAUAGAACUCACACUAUGCGCUGUUGGUACCAUAUGCCAGCAGUUCAACGCGAUGACAAGACUCAAUCAUCAUAAUGAUACCAAAACCAGGGAAAGACCACACGCUCACCUUCUCAAACAGACCGAUAAGUUUAAUUACAUGUCUAUCAAAACUCUUUGAAAAAUGCCUUCUAACCCGUAUCAUACCAUACUUUAGAAGACAUAAUAGUAUUUCAGCACAUCAACUCGGCUUUUGCGAAAAACACGGAACUAUCGAACAGGUGAACCGGCAUUACAUCAGAAAUUCGAAGUGCAUUGGAAAAUAGGGUAUACAGCAAUGCGGUAUUUCUGGACUUCUCUUAAGCAUUUGACAGAGUAUGGCUUGACUUCCGAAUGCAUAAAAUCAAAGGAAUGGUCCCUAAUAACACGCAUAAACUCUUGAAGUCAUAUCUUUCUAACAGGAUAUUGGCUGUAUUGUGCUCCGUCCAACUUUAUAUCUACUCUACACUUCUGAUAUUCCGACGAGCAGACAACUGACUAUAACUACGUUUGCCGAUGAUACCGCGAUGCUCAGCAGAUAUAAAUGUCAACAACAAGCGUCAGCGCAACUUGCGGCCCAUCUAGAUGUAGUACAGAAAUGGCUCUCAGACUGGCGUAUAAAAGUAAAUGAGCAAAAAUGUAAACAAGUAAUCUUUACCUUAAAUAGACAAAAUGGCCCAAACCUUACAUAAACCUCCUCAUUAAAGCAUUAACAUUGGUAUGUAGCCGUUCUCGCCUUCGUCGUAGCGACCGUCCCAUCCAGCGAUAAUUAUUAGGACAGUCUAACAUAAAUACAGUUUAACAAACUGUUAGAAUAAUGUAGUACUUUAAGAUUUUAACACAUUUUGUUAGUCUCGUAAAAGAAGAUUCAAAAUAAAA